CACUGGUCGAGUGAUCCUGCGCCGAAGAUGUCCGGGGCUAAGACUAACUACCGAAGCUACGGCAUCAGUAAUGAUGGGUAGGGGAGCUUCCCAUACGGGUUGAAGCAUGACCGUAAGGACAUGUGGACAGUAUGGGAGUGAGAAUGUUGGCAUGAGUAGCGAGAUGUGGGUGAGAAUCCCACAGGCCGUAAACCCAAGGUUUCCAGGGGAAGGUUCGUCCGCCCUGGGUUAGUCGGGACCUAAGCUGAGGCCGAAAGGCGUAGGUGAUGGACAACAGGUUGAUAUUCCUGUACUACCGAUAACCGUUUGAGAGAAGGGAUGACACAGUAGGAUAAGCUAAGCACACUGUUGGUUAUGUGUGCCCAAGCAUUGAGGCAGUCAAAGUAGG
rnacentral:rRNA from 1 species